rnacentral:rRNA from 1 species
GACGAACGCUGGCGGCGUGCUUAACACAUGCAAGUCGAACGGAAAGGCCCUGCUUUUGUGGGGUGCUCGAGUGGCGAACGGGUGAGUAACACGUGAGUAACCUGCCCUUGACUUUGGGAUAACUUCAGGAAACUGGGGCUAAUACCGGAUAGGAGCUCCUGCUGCAUGGGGGGGGUUGGAAAGUUUCGGCGGUUGGGGAUGGACUCGCGGCUUAUCAGCUUGUUGGGGGGGUAGUGGCUUACCAAGGCUUUGACGGGUAGCCGGCCUGAGAGGGUGACCGGCCACAUUGGGACUGAGAUACGGCCCAGACUCCUACGGGAGGCAGCAGUGGGGAAUAUUGCACAAUGGGCGGAAGCCUGAUGCAGCAACGCCGCGUGCGGGAUGACGCCCUUCGGGUUGUAAACCGCUUUCGCCUGUGACGAAGCGUGAGUGACGGUAAUGGUAAAGAAGCACCGGCUAACUACGUG